AGAUGCCUCACUAACACAUUUCCCACAGGAUGGCUUACACUCUCUGGCUACAGCUGCCUCUACUGACCCAUCGACUCCACAAAACAAAAAAAUCCUAGAGGAGGAGGAGGAGAUUAGAGAUGAGGAAGACGAGCUGAAGAAGGUCCAGCAGGAAGAACUGGCAGAACCAAAUGCGAUAUGGCAAGCAAACGCCUCUGAGAUUAAGGCAUGAUCCGGCAAGCCCAAAGACGAAAGCGGCAACGUCACGAUGAACACGCAAAUGUUCUUUCUACAGUGCCCUUAAUGAUCUUUUGUUUCUGAAACAACAAAGCGUAUCAGAAGCUUGUUCAUUUUUAAGACUGAAAUCUGGUGUACAUAAUGUAUGUAUGCCUUUUUCCAUUUCGUGUUCGUUUCUGUUAAAUGAAGUAAAACCUCAAAGCAUCUCUGUUGCUCUUUUCCUUGAGUUGGCUGCAAAUUCCAAGUUUGAUAUUUUUAAUAGAGGGUGUUUAUGAAAAACAGGCAUCUUGCAUUCAGGUGAAUCACAGCACAUAUUUGCUAAUAGUCCAGAUUAUAUUUUUAUUUUAUUUACAUAUUACUUUGUUUAAAUGGAAAUGAUUACUCCUAUUUUUUAAUCUGCAUCUUCUGAGGGCUAGUCUUGUUUAAUAGUUUGAUUGCAAAUCUUGUUUACAUUCUGGUUUUGUUUCUUGUUUGUUUGUUAACCAUUGUGUUUGAAGAUGUAAUGUAAAACCCACUGUACUACAUAUAAUGCAGUGAAACGCUAUGAAUGAGUGGUCUUCUAAUCACCAGAUUCAUUUAUAUUCUGUUAUUUCACAUCUACAUGUUUAUUAUUGUUAUUCUUAAUGCUUCUCUGACAAGUGGGAUUUUAUUUUUUUAUUUUUUUUCAAAACAUGCUAGCGCAAAUUCUAAUUUAAGUGAAAUCUGACCAUUUUUAUACCGUGUACCUCUGGGUGAAACAUUUGUAUUACACAGCUGACUGCAAGCUUGUGCACUGUGUUUGUGUAUUCUGUAAGUUUUUGAGAAUAUCUGCAUAGCUUAAUGGUUAAAGGUGGCUGAUUUUACUUUGGUAUAACAUUAUGUAAACUGACAUCUGUCUGUGUAAAAGAGGAUCAAUAUGACACUCCUAUCAUUUAAAGUGUUCUUGAUUCUCCACUACCAAUUGCAUGAGUGUCUGCUAGCCCAUCACCGAUGUUCCAAGAAAAGUGUAGGGCACAGAUGGCAGAUUUGAUCUAUAUGUGCAUGCCCAGAGCUGUGUGUAGGUUGACUUUUGGUGUUCAGCGUGCUAUAUAUUUCCAUCCAACAGCAGAUAUUCAGUCUCUGGGGUACAAAUAAGAACAGUGUAACUAUCCGUGCUCAAGGUAUAUAUUUAUUAUUAAUUUCCCCACUUUCAAUAUACUCAAAGCCAGUCUAACCAAACAGUGUACCUUGUGUUUCUGAGAUGGGGUCUAAUGGGGAAGUAAUGUGGGACAGUGAGUAAAACUGUGCUUUAAUCUGUUACGCUUAAAAAAACAAACAUGUUAUAAGUUGUGUUCUUCUAACACAUUUUGAUUAAACUAAUCAAAAUGCAAGUCUA